GCCUUGCUAGCUCAAUCGGUAGAGCGUGUGACUUUUACGCAAGUAAUUUCAUAAUCACAAGGUUGCGGGUUCGACCCCCGCGUGAGGCU